rnacentral:rRNA from 1 species
UUGCCUCAGGUCAGAGAAGACUACCCGCUGGACUUAAGCAUAUCACUAAGCGGAGGAAAAGAAACUAACUAGGAUUCCCCCAGUAACUGCGAGUGAAGAGGGAAGAGCUCAUCAUUGGAAUCUGGCAGCGUCUCGCUGUCCGAGUUGUAGAUGAGAAGAGUGGGCCAUCUGGACUGCAUGGUGUCCAAGUACAAUAGGCCGUCAGUGGGACAUCAUAGAGGGUGACAAUCCCGUCCUUGACACCAAUGUACGAGUCCUUUUACGAUGCCUAUCUCGGAGAGUCGAGCAGUUUGGGAUUUGCUGCUUAAACAUGGGAGGUAGAUUCCUUCCAAAGCUAAAUACAGGCAAGAGACCGAUAGAGAACAAGUACCGCAAGGGAAAGAUGAAAUAGAACUCUGUGAAGGGAGUCAAAAGACGUGAAAUUGUUGCGAGAGAAGCGAUUCAAGUCAGCGUAGCUGGGCCCAUCAAGCCUCGCGCUUUGGACCAGCUUUGCCAGCGGUCUUGUCCUAGAGACUCGACUAAGGUGCCCUGCCCGGUCUGACGGG